rnacentral:rRNA from 1 species
UACAGAGGGUGCGAGCGUUAAUCGGAGUAACUGGGCGUAAAGGGCACGGAGGCGGUUAUAUUAGUCUGAUGUGAAAGAACUGGGCUUAACCUGGGAUGUGCAUUGGAAAAGGUCUGGCUAGAGUAUGGGAGAGGGAAGUGGAAUUUCCGGUGUAGCGGUGAAAUGCGUAGAGAUCGGAAAGAACACUUGUGGCGAAGGCGGCUUUCUGGACCAAAACUGACGCUGAGGUGCGAAAGCGUGGGGAGCAAACAGG